rnacentral:rRNA from 1 species
UAAACGUCUCAGUUCGGAUUGUAGUCUGCAACUCGACUACAUGAAGCUGGAAUCGCUAGUAAUCGCGGAUCAGAAUGCCGCGGUGAAUACGUUCCCGGGUCUUGUACACACCGCCCGUCACACCAUGGGAGCCGGAAAUGCCCGAAGUCUGUGACUCAACCGAGAGGGAGAGCAGCCGAAGGUGGAGCUGGUAACUGGGGUGAAGUCGUAACAAGGUACC